AGGGAGGGGCCCCGGCUCUUUUGCACCUGGAAGAGCCCCGCCGUAACUCCGAAAUUGGGACUAGUGAGAGGGACCGUGAGCACGUGACUGACCUUGCUGGGUCUCCGGUGGAAGCCGUUCCCUUAGGGGCGGAACUCCAACCGAAGCAGAAACAACUGUGGUGUGACACUGGCUCUGUGAGACCUGAGAUCUGUGGGUCAAUCAGAAUGGGCCAAAUUCAAGUCUGUUUGCGGACGGAACCAGCACCAAGCAGCUCGUACUGGCAAAAGCAGAACAAACGGGCUCAGACAGAAUUGACUUAUCAAGAAGUGGUCAAAGACUCAUCGGCAGUGAUACAGCCUAACAUCAAGGUUCAGAGCACAGACUUAGCAGCCAGAUGGCGUAGGUUCAAAUCCCGGCUCCACUUCUCAGGGACCAGGAAACCUGGGGCAGUUUUCUGAAGCUCUCUGUGCCUCAGUUUAUCCACAUGUAAAAUGAAGACACUAAUAGCCGUCCCCACCUGCAGAGUAGUUGUAAGAAUUAUAGGACUUAACGUAAAGCCCUUGGAAUUGACUGUGCCGACAUAUCACAGGUGCAAUAUGAGUGUCUGCUAUUAUUAAAAUAACCCAAAUCAAAA